rnacentral:rRNA from 1 species
UCAAGAUAUUAAGAGUAUAUGGUGGAUGCCUUGGCAUUGGUUGACGAAGAAGGGCGCGGCAAGCUGCGAUAAGCCUCGGGUAGGAGCAAACAUCCUUUGAUCCGGGGGUUUCCGAAUGGGACAACCCGAUAGAAUUUAUUCUAUCAUCUACAGCUGAAUACAUAGGCUGAUGAAGAAGACGUGGUGAACUGAAACAUCUAAGUAGCCACAGGAAAAUAAAGUAAAUAACGAUUACCUAAGUAGUGGUGAGCGAAAAGGUAAGAGCCUAAACUGUUGUGUUGUUAAAGCCUAUGCGCGUUGACACAACAGGGUCGUGGGGUUUUAUGCGGUUACAGUAUAGUGUGACCGGGAAGUUACAAAGUUUAUUCUUAGUCGAAUUUUUCUGGAAAGUUAAACCAUAGUGGGUGAUAGUCCCGUAGACGAAAAGAAUAAGCCUUUCUAAUAGAAUACCCGAGUACCGCGGAGCACGUGGAAUUCCGUGGGAAUCUGGGAGGACCAUCUCCUAAGGCUAAAUACAAACCAAUGACCGAUAGUGAACUAGUACCGCGAGGGAAAGGUGAAAAGUACCCCGGGAGGGGAGUGAAAUAGAUCCUGAAACCAUAUACCUACAACCGGUCGAAGUCAGAUUUAUCUGAUAACGGCGUACCUUUUGUUUAAUGGCCCAGCGAGUUACCGUAUAUAGCAAGGUUAAGUGUUUAAGGCACGAAGCCGGAGCGAAAGCGAGUGUUAAUUGCGCGUUAAGUUAUAUGCGGUAGACGCGAAACCGGGUGAUCUAGCCAUGAGCAGGUUGAAGCGUGGGUAAGACUGCGUGGAGGACCGAACCAACCAGAGCUGAAAAUCUGGUGGAUGACUUGUGGCUAGGGGUGAAAGGCCAAUCAAACUCGGUGAUAGCUCGUUCUCUCCGAAAUAUAUUUAGGUAUAGCCUCGCAUGAAGAGUAAUGGGGGUAGAGCACUGAAUGGACUAGGGGGCUUACCAGCUUACCAAACCCAAUCAAACUCCGAAUACCAUUACUUACUGUGCGGGAGUCAGGGCGCGUGAGAUAAGUUUCGCGUCCGAGAGGGGAACAACCCAGACCAUCAGCUAAGGUCCCCAAGUGUAUGUUAAGUGGAUAAGGAUGUGUAUUUGCAUUGACACCCAGGAAGUUGGCUUAGAAGCAGCCACCCUUUAAAGAAAGCGUAAUAGCUCACUGGUUUAGCGGAAAUGCGCCGAAAAUUCACGGGACUCAAACAUACCACCGAAGCUAUGGAAUUGUGCUUGCACAAUUGGUAGGAGAGCGUUCUGUAAGUCUGUGAAGGUAAUCUGUAAAGGUUGCUGGAGAUAUCAGAAAUGAGAAUGCUGGGAUGAGUAGCGAUAAUGCGGAUGAGAAACCCGCACGCCGUAAAUCUAAGGUUUCCUGGGCAAGGCUAAUCCUCCCAGGGUAAGUCGGGUCCUAAGUCGAGGCCGAAUAGGCGUAGGCGAUGGCAAACAUGUAAAAAAUUCAUGUACCGAUUAUUAGUGCGAUGGGGUGACGUAGAAAGUGAACCUAGCCGGCUGUUGGUUGCCGGUGAAAGUAUGUAGGAGGAAGACUUAGGCAAAUCCGGGUCUUCUUAACUCUGAAAUAUGAGACGAACUGCGCCUAAGGGCAAAGGAAGUAGGUGUAGCUCUGCUACCAAGAAAAGCCUCUAAGCUUCAGCUAGUAAUCGCCCGUACCGUAAUCCGACACAGGUAGAUGAGGAGAGUAUCCUAAGGCGCUCGAGAGAACUCUGGUGAAGGAACUCGGCAAAUUAACCCCGUAACUUCGGAAUAAGGGGUGCCUGCGCAAGCAGGCCGCAGUGAAUAGGUCCAUGCGACUGUUUAACAAAAACACAGCACUCUGCUAAAUCGUAAGAUGAUGUAUAGGGUGUGACACGUGCCCGGUGCUGGAAGGUUAACAGGAGGGGUCAGGCGGUUUACCGUCGAAGCUCUGAAUCGAAGCCCCAGUAAACGGCGGCCGUAACUAUAACGGUCCUAAGGUAGCGAAAUUCCUUGUCGGGUAAGUUCCGACCUG